GUUAAGAUAGUUUAAAUUAAAAUAUUAAUUUGUGGGAUUAGAGAUGAAUAUUAAGUUCUUUUAACA
rnacentral:tRNA from 1 species